rnacentral:rRNA from 1 species
UUUUAGAACGCUCGGCGGCGAGGCCUCAACACAUGCAAGUGCGUAACAAGGUAUCCGUAUUCUUGCUUUUUUGCUGACGAGUGGCGGACGGGUGAGUAAUGUCUGNAGAAACUGCCUGAUGGAGGGGGAUAACUACUGGAAACGGUAGCUAAUACCGCAUAACGUCGCAAGACCAAAGAGGGGGACCUUCGGUCCUCUUGCCAUCGGAUGUGCCCAGAUGGGAUUAGCUUGUAGGUGGGGUAACGGCUUCACCUAGGCGACGAUCCCUAGCUGGUCUGAGAGGAUGACCAGCCACACUGGAACUUGAGACACGGUCCAGACUCCUACGGGAGGCAGCAUGUGGGGAAUAUUGCACAAUGGGCGCAAGCCUGAUGCAGCCAUGCCGCGUGUAUGAAGAAGGCCUUCGGGUUGUAAAGUACUUUCAGCGGG